AUAAAUAAGCGGUGGAAAAGAAACCAACAGGGAUUCCCUCAGUAGCGGCGAGCGAACAGGGAAGAGCCCAGCGCCGAAUUCCGCGUCCCAAAGGGCGUUUGGAACAUGUGGCGUUUAGGAGGAAUCUCUCCGAGGGCAGACGGUGUCGCAAGUCCCCCUGAACGGGGCUGUGAUCCAGAGCGGGUGCGAGGCCCAUAGCUGGUACCGUCUCCUUCGGGUGUCGCCUCCUUGGAGUCGGGUUGCUUGGGAGUGCAGCCCUAAUUGGGUGGUAAACUCCACCUAAGGCUAAAUACGUCCGUGAGACCGAUAGCAAACAAGUACCGUGAGGGAAAGUUGCAAAGAACUUUGAAGAGAGAGUUCAAGAGUACGUGAAACCGCUCAGAGGCAAACGGGUGGGCCCACGAAAGCCGAAGGCGGGGGGAUUCAGUCGAGAGGACGGUGGGGCAGGAUUGGCUGGUCGGACGGACCGUGCCAGGCCGGGUCAGUUCCCGAGAUCCUCCGCCUUUCGACGCAUUUCCCUCUGCUUAGUAGGACGCCGCAACCGGUUGGCGCUGCAGCCAUAAGGGCGAGUAACUGGAAGGUAGCCAGCGAGCUCUCUUCGGAGGCGCGAGCUGGUCCUAAGCCGACUCUCCUGGUGCUUGUGGCCCGACCGUGGUCGUGAGUCCCUGAACGGGAUGUUGCCGAGCCCUCUGACCGGAGCGGGAGACAUGGCAGGCUGCUUUCUGCGAAAAAAAAUCGGUUGCUUCACACGUGCAGUGGGCGACCUCCAGAGGCAGCUGCUGGUGCGUUUCCUCCUGCUGGGCACAGGCAGUUGGCGGCGAGUAGGUCGGUCACCCACCCGACCCCCAAGGAGUCUAACAUGUGCGCGAGUCAUUGGGUCUUGAACAAGCCCAAAGGCGCAAUGAAAGUGAAGACCAGCACUGAAGCUGGUGGAGUUGGGAAACUGCGUCGCUGAAGGCGCAGUUGCACCAACGGCCCGUCCCGUCCGCAUUGUCGGUGGGGCGGAGCGAGAGCGUACACGUUGGGACCCGAAAGAUGGUGAACUAUGCCUGGGCAGGACGAAGCCAGAGGAAACUCUGGUGGAGGUCCGCAGCGGUUCUGACGUGCAAAUCGAUCGUCAGACCCGGGUAUAGGGGCGAAAGACUAAUCGAACCAUCUANNNAGAAGUCCGGCUUGCCUGACCGAAGCCCGAACGAAAGGAUGAGAGCGCCCAGUGGGCCACUUUUAGUAAGCAGAACUGGCGCUGUGGGAUGAACCAAACGCCGGNNUACGGCGCCCGAUGCGAGACGCUCAUGAGGCCCCAUGAAAGGUGUUGGUUGCUAUUGACAGCAGGACGGUGGCCAUGGAAGUCGGAAUCCGCUAAGGAGUGUGUAACGANUCACCUGCNGAAGCNANUAGCCCUGAAAAUGGAUGGCGCUCCAGCGUCGAGCCCAUACCCGGCCGCCGCGGCAGAUGCUCCGGAAGCUUAUGCCNCGGUGAGUANGAGGGUCGCAGUGGCGUGCGUUGAAGGUGCCGGGCGCAAGCCCGCCUGGAGCCGCCACUGGUGCAGAUCUUGGUGGUAGUAGCAAAUACUCAAGUGAGAACCUUGAGGACUGAGGUGGAGAAGGGUUCCAUGUGAACAGCAGUUGAACAUGGGUCAGUCGGUCCUAAGGAAUAGGAGAAAUCCGUUCCGAAGCGGGACGUUUAUUUGACGGCUANUCCCGCCCACUGACCGAAAGGGAAUCGGGUUAAUAUUCCCGAACCCGGACAAGGAGAUCGGCCCCUCGGGGUCAAGUGCGGUAACGCAACUGAACUCGGAGAAGUCGACGGGAGUCCCGGAGAGAGUUUUCUUUUCUUUGUAAGGGUUUGGCUCCCUGGAAUCGGUUCGUCCGGAGAUAGGGAUGCUAUUCCCGUAAAGCAUCGCGCCUCCUGCGGUGUCCGGAGCGCUCCUGUCGGCCCUUGAAAAUCCGAGGGAGAGAGUGUGAUUUUCUUGCCGGACCGUACCCAUAUCCGCAGCANGUCUCCA
rnacentral:rRNA from 1 species